rnacentral:sRNA from 1 species
AACUAGCCCUGAUAGCAGUGAAAAUCCUUUUUAUGCUGGGGUUCAGCAUAAAAGAUUGUAACGAAUAGCAGGAUUAAGC